rnacentral:rRNA from 1 species
CGGCGGGCUAAACAUGCAGUCGACGAUGAAGACCUAGCUUGGUGGGUGGAUUAGUGGCGAAGGGGUGAGUAACACGUGAGCAACCUGCCCCUGACUCAGGGAUAAGCGCUGGAAACGGCGUCUAAUACUGGAUAUGUCCCAUCACCGCAUGGGGUGUGGGUGGAAAGAGUUUUCUGUUGGGGAUGGGCUCGCGGCCUAUCACCUUGUUGGUGAGGUAAUGGCUCGCCAAGGCUUCCACGGGUAGCCAGCCUGAGAGGAUGACCGGCCACGCUGGGACUGAGACACAGUCCAAACUCCUACGGAAGGCAACAGUGGGGAAUAUUGCGCAAUGGGCGGAAGCCUGAUACAGCAACGCCGCGUGAGGGAUGACGGCCUUCGGGUUGUAAACCACUUUUAGCAGGGAAUAAGCGAGAGUAACGGUACCUGCAGAAAAAGCACCGGCUAACUACGUGCCAUCAGCCGCGGUAAUACGUAGGGUGCAUGCGUUAUCCGGAAUUAUUGGGCGUGAGGAGCUCGUAGGCGGUCUGUCGCGUCUGCUGUGAAAUUCCGAGGCUCAACCUCGGGCUUGCAUUGGGUACGGGCAGACUACAGUGCAGUAUGGGAGAUUGGAAUUCAUGGUGUAUGGGUGGAAUGAGAAUAUAUCUCGAGGAACACCGAUGGCAAAGGCAGAUCUCUGGACCAAAACUGACGCUGAGGAGCAAAAGCUGGGG